GACGAACGCUGGCGGCGUGCUUAACACAUGCAAGUCGAACGGAAAGGCCCUGCUUUUGUGGGGUGCUCGAGUGGCGAACGGGUGAGUAACACGUGAGUCACCUUCCCUUGACUUUGGGAUAACUUCAGGAAACUGGGGCUAAUACCGGAUAGGAGCUCCUGCUGCAUGGUGGGGUUUGGACAGUUUCGGCGGGUGUGGAUGGACUCGCGGCUUAUGAGCUUGUUGGUGGGGUAGUUGCUUACCAAGGCUUUGACGGGUAGCCGGCCUGAGAGGGUGACCGGCGACAAUGGGACUGAGAGACGGCGCAGACUGGUAUGGGAGGCAGCAGUGGGGAAUAUGGUACAAUGGGCGGAAGCGUGAUGCAGAAACGCCGCGUGCGGGAUGACGGCCUUCGGGGUGUAAACCGCUGUCGCCUGUGACGAAGCGGGAGUGACGGUAAUGGGUAAAGAAGCACCGGCUAACUACGUG
rnacentral:rRNA from 1 species